rnacentral:rRNA from 1 species
UAGAGAUAGCUGGUUAUUUAGGAAACGGAUAUAGUCCAACUUUAAGUCUUUACAUACCACCAAAUACACAUAGGCUUAAAAAUUAUUCAAAUAAGGUACAGCCUAUUUGAAACAGGAUACAACCUACAAAAGAGGGUAAUGAUUGAGUCAAUGUGACCAAGUGGGCCUAAGAGCAGCCAUCUUUCAAAAAGCGUUAAAGCUUCCUCACACUCACCUUAUUAAUUCCUACCAAAACCCAAACCCCCUUACCAGUACUAAAUGACUCCAUAUUAAUAUGGAAAACCCCAUGUUAGAACUAGUAACAAGAAUUAUUAUUCUCCUACAAACCAAGUGUAAGCCAGAAUGAACCACUCACCGGCACUUACCGCUAGUAAACACAAAGUAACAACCACACAAGAAAACCUUACUUCCAUAUAACGUUAACCUUACACUAGAGCUUUUCUGGAAAGAUUAAAAAAAGAGGAAGGAACUCGGCAAAUACUAACCCCGCCUGUUUACCAA